UACGUAGGGUGCGAGCGUUGUCCGGAAUUAUUGGGCGUAAAGGGCUCGUAGGCGGUUUGUCGCGUCGGGAGUGAAAACAUCUGGCUUAACUCUCAGCUUGCAGUUGAUACGGGCAGACUUGAGUUCGGUAGGGGAGACUGGAAUUCCUGGUGUAGCGGUGAAAUGCGCAGAUAUCAGGAGGAACACCGGAGUGGCAAGGCGGCCUCCUGGG
rnacentral:rRNA from 1 species